AACGAACGCUGGCGGCAGGCUUAACACAUGCAAGUCGAACGCACCGCAAGGUGAGUGGCAGACGGGUGAGUAACACGUGGGGAUCUGCCCAAUGGUACGGAAUAGCUCCGGGAAACUGGAAUUAAUACCGUAUGAGCCCGCAAGGGGAAAGAUUUAUCGCCAUUGGAUGAACCCUAUUAUUAAUUUUUUUGUGUUGUGGUAAAGGCGCACCAAGGCGACGAUCCGUAGCUGGUCUGAGAGGAUGAUCAGCCACACUGGGACUGAGACACGGCCCAGACUCCUACGGGAGGCAGCAGUGGGGAAUAUUGGACAAUGGGCGCAAGCCUGAUCCAGCCAUGCCGCGUGAGUGAUGAAGGCCUUAGGGUUGUAAAGCAGGGACGCCGACGAAGAUAAUGACGGUAGUCGGAGAAGAAGCCCCGGCUAAAGUCGUGCCAGCCGCCGCAGUAACAC
rnacentral:rRNA from 1 species